UGUGAUGACUCCACUUGCUCAGCCAGC
rnacentral:piRNA from 1 species